rnacentral:miRNA from 1 species
UCAGGCGGUAUGCUUUCUACUUU